GGGGCUGUGGCGCAGCUGGUAGCGCACUUGACUGGCAGUCAAGGGGUCAGGGGUUCGAAUCCCCUCAGCUCCACCU
rnacentral:tRNA from 1 species